UGGGGAAUAUUGCACAAUGGGCGCAAGCCUGAUGCAGCCAUGCCGCGUGUGUGAAGAAGGCCUUCGGGUUGUAAAGCACUUUCAGCGGGGAGGAAGGCGUUAAGGUUAAUAACCUUGGCGAUUGACGUUACCCGCAGAAGAAGCACCGGCUAACUCCGUGCCAGCAGCCGCGGUAAUACGGAGGGUGCAAGCGUUAAUCGGAAUUACUGGGCGUAAAGCGCACGCAGGCGGUCUGUCAAGUCGGAUGUGAAAUCCCCGGGCUCAACCUGGGAACUGCAUUCGAAACUGGCAGGCUAGAGUCUUGUAGAGGGGGGUAGAAUUCCAGGUGUAGCGGUGAAAUGCGUAGAGAUCUGGAUGAAUACCGGUGGCGAAGGCGGCCCCCUGGACAAAGACUGACGCUCAGGUGCGAAAGCGUGGGGAGCAAACAGG
rnacentral:rRNA from 1 species